rnacentral:rRNA from 1 species
GACGAACGCUGGCGGCGUGCUUAACACAUGCAAGUCGAACGGAAAGGCCCUGCUUGCAGGGUACUCGAGUGGCGAACGGGUGAGUAACACGUGGGUGAUCUGCCCUGCACUUCGGGAUAAGCCUGGGAAACUGGGUCUAAUACCGGAUAGGAGCCAUUUUUAGUGUGAUGGUUGGAAAGUUUUUUCGGUGUAGGAUGAGCUCGCGGCCUAUCAGCUUGUUGGUGGGGUAAUGGCCUACCAAGGCGGCGACGGGUAGCCGGCCUGAGAGGGUGGACGGCCACAGUGGGACUGAGAUACGGCCCAGACUCCUACGGGAGGCAGCAGUGGGGAAGAUUGAACAAUGGGCGCAAGCCUGAUGCAGAGACGCCGCGGGGGGGAUGACGGCCUUCGGGUUGUAAACUCCGUUCGCUAGGGACGAAGCUUUUUGUGACGGUACCUAGAGAAGAAGCACCGGCUAACUACGUG